GAUCAUGGCUCAGGAUGAACGCUGGCGGCGUGCCUAACACAUGCAAGUCGAGCGGAGAUAUAGAGAGAUUCUUCGGAUACUUCUUAUCUUAGCGGCGGAUGGGUGAGUAACACGUGGGUAACCUGCCCUGCACAGGGGGAUAACAGCUGGAAACGGCUGUUAAUACCGCAUAUGCACACGCUGCCGCAUGGCAGAGGGUGGAAAGAUUUAUCGGUGCAGGAUGGGCCCGCGUCGGAUUAACUAGUUGGCAGGGUAACGGCCUACCAAGGUUAUGAUCCGUAGCCGACCUGAGAGGGUGACCGGCCACAUUGGGACUGAGACACGGCCCAAACUCCUACGGGAGGCAGCAGUGGGGGAUAUUGCACAAUGGGCGAAAGCCCUGAUGCAGCGACGCCGCGUGAAGGAAGAAGUAUUUCGGUAUGUAAACUUCUAUCAGCGGGGAAGAAGAUGACGGUACCCGACUAAGAAGCCCCGGCUAACUACGUGCCAGCCGCCGC
rnacentral:rRNA from 1 species